UACAGAGGCCUCGAGCGUUAAUCGGAAUCACUGGGCUUAAAGGGUGCGUAGGCGGCGCUGCAAGUGCCUUGUGAAAUCCCAUGGCUUAACCAUGGAACUGCUCGGUAGACUGCAGCGCUUGAGGUUGGUAGGGGCUGCCGGAACUCUAGGUGGAGCGGUGAAAUGCGUAGAUAUCUAGAGGAACGCCCAAGGCGAAGGCAGGCAGCUGGGCCAAUUCUGACGCUG
rnacentral:rRNA from 1 species